GACGAACGCUGGCGGCGUGCUUAACACAUGCAAGUCGAACGGAAAGGCCCUGCUUUUGUGGGGUGCUCGAGUGGCGAACGGGUGAGUUACACGUGAGUAACCUGCCCUUGACUUUGGGAUAACUUCAGGAAACUGGGGCUAAUACCGGAUAGGAGCUCCUGCUGCAUGGUGGGGGUUGGAAAGUUUCGGCGGUUGGGGAUGGACUCGCGGCUUAUCAGCUUGUUGGUGGGGUAGUGGCUUACCAAGGCUUUGACGGGUAGCCGGCCUGAGAGGGUGACCGGCCACAUUGGGACUGAGAUACGGCCCAGACUCCUACGGGAGGCAGCAGUGGGGAAUAUUGCACAAUGGGCGGAAGCCUGAUGCAGCAACGCCGCGUGCGGGAUGACGGCCUUCGGGUUGUAAACCGCUUUCGCCUGUGACGAAGCGUGAGUGACGGUAAUGGGUAAAGAAGCACCGGCUAACUACGUG
rnacentral:rRNA from 1 species